UCAACAGAUGUGACCGGCCUAUUGCCACUUC
rnacentral:sRNA from 1 species